rnacentral:rRNA from 1 species
AUUGAACGCUGGCGGCAGGCCUAACACAUGCAAGUCGAACGAGUGGCGGACGGGUGAGUAAUGUCUGGGAAAAUGCCCGAUGGAGGGGGAUAACUACUGGAAACGGUAGCUAAUACCGCAUACCAUUGGAUGUGCCCAGAUGGGAUUAGCUAUGAGGUGGGGUAAAGGCUCACCUAGUCGCCGAUCCCUAGCUGGUCUGAGAGGAUUACCAGCCACCCUGGAACGGAGACACGGUCCAGACUCCUACGGGAGGCAGCAGUGGGGAAUAUUGCACAAUGGGCGCAAGCCUGAUGCAGCCAUGCCGCGUGUAUGAAGAAGGCCUUCGGGUUGUAAAGUACUUUCAGCGGGGAGGCGUUACCCGCAGAAGAAGCACCGGCUAACUCCGUGCCAGCAGCCGCGGUAAUUC